GGUGCUGUGGCUUAGUUGGUUAAAGCGCCUGUCUAGUAAACAGGAGAUCCUGAGUUCAAAUCUCAGGCAGUACCU